UACGGAGGGGGCGAGCGUUAUUCGGAAUUAUUGGGCGUAAAGGGCGCGUAGGCGGCUUGACAAGUCAAAGGUGAAAUCCCUCGGCUCAACUGAGGAACUGCCUUUGAAACUGUCUGGCUUGAGGCCGGGAGGGGGUAGCGGAAUUCCCAGUGUAGCGGUGAAAUGCGUAGAUAUUGGGAGGAACACCAGUGGCGAAGGCGGCUACCUGGACCGGUACUGACGCUGAUGCGCGAAAGCGUGGGGAGCAAACAGG
rnacentral:rRNA from 1 species